UACAGAGGGGGCAAGCGUUGUUCGGAAUUACUGGGCGUAAAGGGCGCGUAGGCGGCCUGUUAAGUCGAACGUGAAAUCCCCGGGCUCAACCCGGGAACUGCGUCCGAUACUGGCAGGCUUGAAUCCGGGAGAGGGAUGCGGAAUUCCAGGUGUAGCGGUGAAAUGCGUAGAUCUCGAGAGGAAUACCGGUUGCGAAGGCGGCCUUUUGGCCAGUAACUGACGCUUAAGCGCGAAAGCGUGGGGAGCAAACAGG
rnacentral:rRNA from 1 species